rnacentral:rRNA from 1 species
GAUGAACGCUGGCGACGUGCCUAAUACAUGCAAGUAGAACGCUGAAGCUUGGUGCUUGCACCGAGCGGGUGAGUUGCGAACGGGUGAGUAACGCGUAGGUAACCUGCCUCUUAGCGGGGGAUAACUAUUGGAAACGAUAGCUAAUACCGCAUAAAAGUCGAUAUCGCAUGAUAUUGAUUUGAAAGGUGCAAUUGCAUCACUAAGAGAUGGACCUGCGUUGGAUUAGCUAGUUGGUGAGGUAACGGCUCACCAAGGCGACGGUACAUAGCCGACCUGGAGGGGUGAUCGGCCACACUGGGACUGAGACACGGCCCAGACGCCUACGGGAGGCAGCAGGAGGGAAACUUCGGCAAGGGGGGCAACCCUGAACGCGCCACGCCGCGUGAGGGAAGAAGGGUUUCGGAUCGUAAAGCUCUGUUGUAAGAGAAGAACGAGUGUGAGAGUGGAACGUUCACACUGUGACGGUAACUUACCAGAAAGCGACGGCUAACUACGUG